rnacentral:rRNA from 1 species
UACGUAGGCAGCGAGCGUUGUUCGGAGUUACUGGGCGUAAAGAGCGUGUAGGCGGUUUGGUAGGUCCGUUGUGAAAACUCGAGGCUCAACCUCGAGACGCCGAUGGAAACCAUCAGACUAGAGUCCGGAAGAGGAGAGUGGAAUUCCUGGUGUAGCGGUGAAAUGCGCAGAUAUCAGGAAGAACACCCGUGGCUAAGGCGGCUCUCUAGUACGGUACUGACGCUGAGACGCGAAAGCGUGGGGAGCGAACAGG